GCCUUGCUAGCUCAAUCGGUAGAGCGUGAGGCUCUUAAUCUUAAGGUUGGGGUUCGACCCCCCCGUGAGGCU
rnacentral:tRNA from 1 species